CCAGAAGCUAGGAGGGAAGCAUGUAACAGAUUCUAUAGUGCCUCUUAGAGGGAACCAGCCCUGCCAACACCUUGCUUGAGAUUUUUGGCUUCUGGCCUGCAGAACUAUGAGACAAUAAAAUUCUCUUGCUCAAGUCACACAGUAUGUGAUAUUUGUUAUGGCAGCCCCAGAAAACUAAUACAUCUGAAUAAAUGAAUCAAUCUCUACCUUAUUCAGCAACUAUGACCUUGGCCAUGGGUCUAAGCUUUAGUACUGGGGCUUCUCUCUCUUUAAGGGCAGCUGAAUAUUUUAUGUUUUCCAAGUUUUAGAGGUUGGCAGAAACCCUUCCUUUCUUCUCCCCAACUCUCAUCUCACACUGAGUCACUCUUUCAGGGCUGGGCAUUUAUUUACUAAAAGUUCUAGAUAGCAAUAGAUUUUAUUGUCCAAAUGCAAACUUCUCUUUGCCAUCACCUCAUUUGGAAAUAGCCACCAUAUGACCACCGAUGCAGUGUUAUCCGUUUGGUGUUCCAGCCUCCAGAUGUCUUUUGGGGGAUAGGUUUGCAUCUGUUAGAGAUGAAGGAACUAAGUGGCAUCAUGACUUUUCCUCAUGGAAAUUACUUGGGGGCAAACAAAUUGUUCUGCCUUUCUUCUGAUGCAUUUUAAACUAAGUCAUCCUUUUGUUUCACCAACAGCAAAAACAAGCAUUUUUCAAAAACUGAAGUCAAUCAAAGGAGUAGUAGCAAUAAAGAGGAAGAUUGUUAUCAUGGGGUGAAGAUGAGGCAAUGCCAAGUAUAGUGCCGCGUACAGAGCCUGGAGCAAGGUAUUUCCAGCCUUGUUUUGCAACCGAUAAAAAUGAGACUCAGAGGUGAACAAACGCAGGCUCCGGGAUGCCAAGUGACUUCAUAUCAACAUCACCCAGCAGAUUAAGGGAACUGGGCCCAGACUCCUAGGCUCCUGACUACCCAGUCCUGUGCCCAUUCUAGUGGCCACUAUACUCACCCACUGGUUGUAGCCAUAUCUGGCUUAGGCUGGCAACACUUUUGAAGCAAGGAUGAUGCUUUCUUUCUUUUGCCCAAGACCAUUCUUCAUAUAAUAAGACAAUUAACAGAUUGUGGGUUUGAUUUAUAUGUAUGGUGAACUAACACUGGAAUGUAUCUGAAAGAUUGAGGCAGGAGAGGUAGUCAAGGAAGUAACCACGUCUUUCAGACGUGGCAACCGUGAUGACCACCAACACAAUAAGCCCUGGUGUUGACACUGUAGUCAAGCUCAUUCAAGCAAAGCUAUUUUCAGUAGGGAAUUUCCUCUGUAGAGAGCAUGCACAUUUUGAUUUUACCUGUCCUCAAACUGACCCUUUGCUCAUUAUAAUACUAAUAUAAAAAAUACUAAUAUUAAAAAAACCCCUGGGUGGAGAUUUAAGACGUUAAUGAGACAUGCGACCUAUGAAUAAGCAUGUACAGCUACUGCACAUGUGCAUCCAGAGGACCACCCACAAUAUGCUUACUAGUAACAUCUCCUUCCACACCCUUAUGAAUAAUCAUGUAAGAUUCCCAUAAGGGUAGUCUCCCUAGGGCCAGUCCAUGCUUUCUCUUCUUUAUGAGCAGCCUGCCAUGAAUCCUCUCUCAGGGUGCACUGUCUAUUCUGCACCCAGCUUUUAGAAUAUUCUUUCUCUUUUGCAAUAAAUUGCUCUAUGCUGCAGCUCCUUUGCUGUGUGUCUCUUCUUUAAGUUCUUUUAAACUAAUAAGACAAGAACUGAGGUCUCACAACAGCCAUCAACAAGAUUGUUGAAAUUCUGGAAGAGUGAUUUUCCCCAUGGGUAAUACAUUAUUCUUUUUAUUAUUUCAA
rnacentral:lncRNA from 10 species